UUUGUGUACAAAGAGGCCAUGGCUGCAAACUUCAGUAGAUCCGGCAACUCGUGUACAUUUAGCUACAAACUUCUCUCUUCAUCAUAGCUGCUAGUUAUCUUACCGCCGUGUGUAUUAGCAGAUGUAGCAUAAAUGAGUUAAUGUCUCAAUGAGCUAACUUGACCAUCAAAUUUAGCAUGUUAAAACAUCUUUCUCACUGCCUAACUAACUUCGUGUCUUUGCAGGAUGUCUGUGAUCUUCUUAGGCUGCUGAAUGAAGUGGAAUUAACCACAGUGAACGAGAGGAGGCUGAAACAGGCCUUUCAUGAGAAGUUUUAUCAUAUUACUAGUGCUGCUAACAUUGGAAAUUACCUCGAAUAUCAAAACUUUCAGUAUGAUCAGUGGAGGUACAUACUGAAGGUUCUGUAAAAGAAAGUUGGGCUUUUCAAAGAGGCGAUGGACCUGCAAAUCAAAGAGGUACUCAUCGAUCAAACGGAAGAUCAGAGUGACAGCCAGUGAUCUGUGUUCAGGAGCUGGUGAAGCCAGCAGCAUGCAGUGAGCCUCGAUCACUAAAUAAUGUCCGUA